CUCCCCUGCCACCCCCAACACCUAGGAUACAGUCGGUGCUCAAUACGUACUGUGGCCCCUCGGGGCUGCCCACCUCCUCCGACAAGAAGCGGCCAUGGCACCCCCACGAGUGGGGCCAGAGCGGAGCCCACCUGCCCCACGCCACAGGGCUGUCACCACCCGAGGGCCAGCCCUGCCCGACACAGAGGGCACGCGUGUGACGUGUGACACGCACGCACGCACGCACCUGAUCCUCCUUGCCUCUCCCUCUUUCAGCUCCUGCAUCCUGGGGCCUGGCAAGCCCUGUGUGUGUCAGUGUCCCUUCGAGGGUCCCAGGACCAAGGAAGGCCCCUUCCUUUCUGUCCCUUGGUGCCCCUGGUCACUGGGGUAGGGGUGAGUCAGGGACUUUAGGCCAGGGAUGAAGUAGCUGGUGCCCAGGCUCUAAAGCUGCAGCCCCAAAUUCAAAUCCAAUUACUCGUCAGGGUUUUAUAUCCAGUUAUUCAGGUUGUGCACUGCACAAGGAGAAGCUGCGCCCGUUCUGCGAGCCUUUACCAGGUGGCUGAGGACGGCACCUGGGGCCCCAUGCACGCCAGGUGGGUGCCGAGCACUGAGCUCCAGGCCCGUUGUGUCAAGCUCCGGCAGAUGGCAGCGCAGGAACCGGCCGGCUCAAAGUCAGGGGGUGUGGUCGUCUUGUCACAGCUGCCCCCGUUCUCCUGGGACCCGCCACCUGUCCCCAGGACUUCCUACCUGGAAGGAGCAGCAGAGGGGCUCACGGUGCUGCUGGGGCACAGUGGCAUCUCGGGGACUCUGUGAUGCCCAGGAAGUGCUGGGCAGGCCUUUGCCCUGCUUACCGUCCCCUGACCUGCAGCUCUGCAGAGUGGCACUGGCCCCUGGUGCCUCAGUUUACCCAAUCUGAAGCAGCAGUGCUUCUCCCGGGUCGCGCCCGUCACUCCCGAGCCCUGCUCCAGCCUGGCCCGACUCUCGCCCUUGAGCUUGUCCAAAUUUGGUGCUGCCUGGCGUCUGAACCCCGUUUCCUGCCCCCCCCCCCCGCCGCCUGGCUGCCAGCGAGGCCGUCGCUGAAGGCCCCCCUCCAAAUCCCCAGGAGCUGCCCAGAGAGGAAAUCCUCUUCCUCCACCAGCUGGAAGCUACAGAGUGUUGCUUUGGGAGUUUUUUGGCUUCCACAUGGCGGAAUGUUCUAGCCUUGGCGGCCACAGGCCCUCCCCUCUUGGCAGGGUCUCUCCAGCCCAAGCCUCUCCGUCCCCCAACCCAGGCCUCAGCAGACCUCAGCAGCCCACCUGACAGGAGCAGGGAAGCACAGGCUGCGGUCCCGAGACCAAGGGCAGGAGGAGGAGAUCCCGGCCGGGGACCCUGCACGGCCUCUGCCGGAGCUCCGCAGCACCCCGGCGGGGCGCAGGUUCCUAGACACACGCGCCCAGGCUGACGGACGCCGGGGAUUAUGAGGCUCCAGGACCAAUUAGGGCUGUUUGCGCUGACGUCAAGUCUGGGUGGUUUCUCCUUCCCUUCGCAGGAGUUUAUAGCCCCAGGGGCGCACGGCAGUGAGGCUGCCCGCGGGGUCCUCGUGGGACCAGGUCCCCUGUGCUGUCCCCGCGUGCUCGAGGACAGGUCAGCGCAACUCCUGAGCACCUACUCUGUGUGCCGGGGAGGCCCAGGGCGCAACAGCCUGUGGUGCGGCCCGAGCUACACGCCCGGCCACAGCAGCACGUGCAUGCCACCCCGUGGCGGGGACGUGAGCGCAGUGACCUUGUCCCUCCUGGGCCCAGGAGGCGGUGGAGCCUUCUGCCUUGGGGAGUCCACUCCCUUUGGGGGCCACUGGACGGGGUAAGGACGCUGUGUGCCCCGACUCUCACACGACACGGAGCACAGUCCCUGUCCCGUGACAGCAAGACCACCGGAGGAGGGCGGGCGCCCUGCACCCCACAAACCUUCACGCAGACACGCACUGCUUUGGCGCCUACUGUAUUCAAGAGGAAGGAGCCAUGCACACACAACAUCCUCCGAGCUGGCCCUAGAGUUUGUUAACCUGUGUGCAUGAGCGUGAGCGUGAGUGUGAGAGUGUGUGUGUGUGUGUCUUCUCCUACUAUAGUUUUCCUGCGGUGCCGAGGCAGCACCCCGGCCCUACACGCGUGUUUUGUGCAGCAGUCUGCAUGGCCGCUGUGCCGUGGGAUCAAACUUGCCUUGGUGGUGGGGAAGGGGGCCGGGGCGUGGUUCCGGCGGCAGGAAGGCGAUCCUGGUCCCGACGCCGGUCCCCUCGCCCCCUCCCCCAAGGCCGCCUCCUUUGCCUCCACGUGCUGCCCUGUGACGGUGUGCGUGAGCUGCAGGGAGGGGCGGCGAGAUGGACGGGGCCAGGUGGGGACGGCCUGGCGCCAGAUCGGCAGGAACAGCGGAGGCCGGGCCCCCCACACUGGGCCGUGUUCCCAAGUCGCGACCACCCAGGGAGGCUCUGACCCAACCUGGGGCAGCUGAGGCCCAGCCCAUUCCGGGAGGGGCUGGCGGCCUCCAGGGCACGGCACUCAGGAGUCCUGUGCAGCCGCUCGUCCGGAAGGUCUUCCUGCAGGCCCACUGUGCGCCAGGACGGCUGUGUGCGGGACAGCUGAGAGGGCGCCGAGCCCGCAUCCUCACUCUCGGGCAGCCAGCACUCGAUUUGACCUGAUUCUACCCGCUUCUGAGCAUAGGCGGUGUCAGAGUUUGAAUUCUGGGAUCCCCCAAGGCUUGUGUGUUCCUGGCUGGGGUUUGGGUUAGAUUCUGGGGCUCUGACUGCAUCACGUGGAGCAAUCCAGCCAUGGGCUUGUUAGCGGACCUGCUUCCUGGGAGGCAGAGUUCACUGGGUGAGGGGGGCACUGGGCAUGGCUUUGCGGGACACAGGCUGUGCCUGCCUCUUCCUCUCCGGCUUUUCUCGUCCCUGUGCUUCCUGACCGCCACAAACCGAGGCUCUCUCCCCUGCCAGGCCCUCCCGCCACGAUCGCCCUGCCUUGACGCGGCAGACCAUGGACUGAGCCCUCUGCAGCCACGAGCCAAGUUAACCCUCCCCGCCUUCAAGUGUGCUGUCAGGUGUCUUGUCCCAGCAACUGAACGUGGACUGGUGUGUGUGCUGAGAUACUUCGCCAUGCCGCACAGUUCUGUCCCUGCCUCGGCUCCAGGAUGACAUAGUUCCUGCCCAUUUCUCAAAUGGGGACAGUGAGCCCAGAGGGGGUGCGGAGCCGGCACCAGGACUGAGCCAGUGAGGUCGGAUUUGAGGCCCCUCCCCCCGAGGCCUAACCACUGAGUUCCCAGCAGCUAAGCCCCAGCCUCAGGCAGGACCGGCGCUCCUGGGUGUGGGGCGAUCUCCUCGGGUCAGUCUGGGCCUGCUCUGCAGGAAGCCCUGGUUCCUGCCAGGGCCCCUCAACGCGGCUGGGAAGGAGUGUGAGUUUGGGGGACCCCUGAGGCUCUUGCCUUCAUCAGCCGAGGAUAACAACUCCCACCUGAGGCCAAGUCUCAGCGAGGCUCGCCGUGGGAAGAGUGCUCAGCAUGGGCUUUGUGUAAAGUGAGGGUCCACUCAGUGCGCUUACACAGUGAACAACCUGGCUAACCGUACCUGUGCACAUCCUCGUGUCCCUUUCCUUAAAAGGCUGUACUGUUGAACCGAGAGAGGGCUGGCCUCGAGGGCGGAGGACGUGGGCGGCUGAGGCCUCAGGAGAGGCUAACGCGCUGCUAUUCCCGAUCUCCCCGUGCUUCCAACCACUGCGCCGCUCAGCACAGGGCCCAGACCGCAGCAGCCGGGAAUCUGCAGAAGGGGACACAGCUGUUGGCUACAAAGGCCCGCACAUGAGGAGACCGGCUCCCAUGCACCCCAUGUCCGCCAGGGGGCGCCUCAGGGCCAGAACUUCCAGGCCCGGAAACGGCGCAGAAUGGUUCUAAGUUUGCUUUUUCAGCCCGCGGCCCUGGACGCUGCAGUGCUGAGGGAGGGAUCGUC